GGAGUUAGCCGGUGCUUCUUCUGUGAGUGAUGUCCUUCCUGCCGGCUAUUAACCCGCAGGCCUUCUUCCUCACUGAAAGUGCUUUACAACCCGAAGGCCUUCUUCACACACGCGGCAUGGCUGGAUCAGGGUUGCCCCCAUUGUCCAAUAUUCCCCACUGCUGCCUCCCGUAGGAGUCUGGGCCGUGUCUCAGUCCCAGUGUGGCUGAUCAUCCUCUCAGACCAGCUACGGAUCGUCGCCUUGGUGAGCCGUUACCUCACCAACCAGCUAAUCCGACAUAGGCUCAUCCGAUAGCGCGAGGCCCGAAGGUCCCCCGCUUUCCCCCGUAGGGCGUAUGCGGUAUUAGCCUGGGUUUCCCCCAGGUUAUCCCCCACUACCGGGCAGAUUCCUAUGCAUUACUCACCCGUCCGCCGCUCGCCACCAGGGAGCAAGCUCCCCGUGCUGCCGCUCGACUUGCAUGUGUUAGGCCUGCCGCCAGCGUCAAUCUGAGCAGAUACAAACUACUGA
rnacentral:rRNA from 1 species